rnacentral:rRNA from 1 species
AUUGAACGCUGGCGGCAGGCCUAACACAUGCAAGUCGAACGGUAACAGAAAGCAGCUUGCUGCUUUGCUUACGAGUGGCGGACGGGUGAGUAAUGUCUGGGAAACUGCCUGAUGGAGGGGGAUAACUACUGGAAACGGUAGCUAAUACCGCAUAACGUCGCAAGACCAAAGAGGGGGACCUUCGGGCCUCUUUCCUUCGGAUGUUCCCAGAUGGGAUUAGCUAGUAGGUGGGGUAACGGCUCACCUAGGCGACGAUCCCUAGCUGGUCUGAGAGGAUGACCAGCCACACUGGAACUGAGACACGGUCCAGACUCCUACGGGAGGCAGCAGUGGGGAAUAUUGCACAAUGGGCGCAAGCAUGAUGCAGCAAUGCCGCGUGUAUGAAGAAGGACUUCGGGUUGUAAAGUACUUUCAGCGGGGAGGAAGGGAGUAAAGUUAAUACCUUUGCUCAUUGACGUUACCCGCAGAAGAAGCACCGGCUAACUACGUG